GGAGGCGCAGCGGGGUCUGGGGGGGCCGCUGGCGGCCCCCACCCACGAGGCUGCCCCGCGCCAGCUUCUGCAGCUCGACGGGCACCACGGCGCUGGGGCAGUGCUUCUCGAUGUAGUCCUGGAAUCCCUGCACUCCCAUGGAAGGAAACUAGUCCAGAGCAGGUGCCACCAGGAGUUUGGCUGUCAGCAUUCUUGGAGUCAGGGAGGCGCAGCAGAACUGAGCACUGCCAGCUCAUGCCCAGCCACAAACACAACCCUUCCUCCCCGAAGAGAAGAAAAGAGAGAGGAAAAGCAUAACGGGAAACAAGCAAACACCUGCCUGAGCUGCCAGCCUGCUCCUACAAACACCUCAGCUUACACAGAGCAGCCGAGCUGAGAUGAUGCCAGGAAAGUGAAGGUCUUGUAAGAGGGGACAUUCAAGGCCUGGUCAACCUGUGCCUGGUACUACUGAAGACAGCAAGAAUCUCACUGCAGAUUUCAGGGAGAACAAGAGCAGACCCAGGGAGUGAAGAAACAUCAUUUCCAUUCACUUUGGCUGUGUUCUAAGAGAACCUACAAACAGUUCUCCAGGGUAGACAGAGGAGGGAUUAAAAUGAGUGAAAGAAAACAAGGUUUCUAUAAGCAACAGAAGCUAAUAGUUGGCUAUUUUGUCUCUGCUCAUUCUGAUUCUGCAACCCCUAAAGACCAACAUCUUCCUUUGCAAUCGACGAUGGCCAUUUUUUUGGAAGAAGCAGACC